rnacentral:rRNA from 1 species
UUCAAAGAUUAAGCCAUGCAUGUCUAAGUAUAAGCAAUUUAUACAGUGAAACUGCGAAUGGCUCAUUAAAUCAGUUAUCGUUUAUUUGAUAGUUCCUUUACUACAUGGUAUAACUGUGGUAAUUCUAGAGCUAAUACAUGCUUAAAAUCUCGACCUCUUGGAAGAGAUGUAUUUAUUAGAUAAAAAAUCAAUGUCUUCGGACUCUUUGAUGAUUCAUAAUAACUUUUCGAAUCGCAUGGCCUUGUGCUGGCGAUGGUUCAUUCAAAUUUCUGCCCUAUCAACUUUCGAUGGUAGGAUAGUGGCCUACCAUGGUUUCAACGGGUAACGGGGAAUAAGGGUUCGAUUCCGGAGAGGGAGCCUGAGAAACGGCUACCACAUCCAAGGAAGGCAGCAGGCGCGCAAAUUACCCAAUCCUGACACAGGGAGGUAGUGACAAUAAAUAACGAUACAGGGCCCAUUCGGGUCUUGUAAUUGGAAUGAGUACAAUGUAAAUACCUUAACGAGGAACAAUUGGAGGGCAAGUCUGGUGCCAGCAGCCGCGGUAAUUCCAGCUCCAAUAGCGUAUAUUAAAGUUGUUGCAGUUAAAAAGCUCGUAGUUGAACUUUGGGUCUGGGUGGCCGGUCCGAUUUUUUCGUGUACUGGAAUGCACCCGGGCCUUUCCUUCUGGCUAACCCCAAGUCCUUGUGGCUUGGUGGCGAACCAGGACUUUUACUUUGAAAAAAUUAGAGUGUUCAAAGCAGGCGUAUUGCUCGAAUAUAUUAGCAUGGAAUAAUGGAAUAGGACGUUUGGUUCUAUUUUGUUGGUUUCUAGGACCAUCGUAAUGAUUAAUAGGGACGGUCGGGGGCAUCAGUAUUCAAUUGUCAGAGGUGAAAUUCUUGGAUUUAUUGAAGACUAACUACUGCGAAAGCAUUUGCCAAGGACGUUUUCAUUAAUCAAGAACGAAAGUUAGGGGAUCGAAGAUGAUCAGAUACCGUCGUAGUCUUAACCAUAAACUAUGCCGACUAGGGAUCGGGUGGUGUUUUUUUAGUGACCCACUCGGCACCUUACGAGAAAUCAAAGUACUUUGGGUUCUGGGGGGAGUAUGGUCGCAAGGCUGAAACUUAAAGGAAUUGACGGAAGGGCACCACCAGGAGUGGAGCCUGCGGCUUAAUUUGACUCAACACGGGGAAACUCACCAGGUCCAGACACAAUAAGGAUUGACAGAUUGAGAGCUCUUUCUUGAUUUUGUGGGUGGUGGUGCAUGGCCGUUCUUAGUUGGUGGAGUGAUUUGUCUGCUUAAUUGCGAUAACGAACGAGACCUUAACCUACUAAAUAGUGGUGCUAGCAUUUGCUGGUUGUCCACUUCUUAGAGGGACUAUCGGUUUCAAGCCGAUGGAAGUUUGAGGCAAUAACAGGUCUGUGAUGCCCUUAGACGUUCUGGGCCGCACGCGCGCUACACUGACGGAGCCAGCGAGUCUAACCUUGGCCGAGAGGUCUUGGUAAUCUUGUGAAACUCCGUCGUGCUGGGGAUAGAGCAUUGUAAUUAUUGCUCUUCAACGAGGAAUUCCUAGUAAGCGCAAGUCAUCAGCCUUGCGUUGAUUACGUCCCUGCCCUUUGUACACACCGCCCGUCGCUAGUACCGAUUGAUGCUAUGAGGCCUCAGAUCUGCUACAAAAGGGGCGACUCACUUACAGCGAAA